UCUCCGUUGGUGAACCAGCGGAGGGAUCAUUACAGGACUCGCAAGACUCCUACAACCCUGUGAACUUAACUAUAAGCACGUUGCUUCGGUGGGUGUCUCGGAGGGGGUUCUCCCUCCCCGAGACGCUAAACCCGCCGGCAGCCUACUAUACUCUGUCUCUUUGCGUUGGCAUCUCGAGUACAAUCAAACAAGUUAAAACUUUCAACAACGGAUCUCUUGGUUCUG
rnacentral:misc_RNA from 1 species